UUGUGGUAUUGUCUGCCGAACAAAAAGAGCAAACGUUUCUCUCCCUUCCUACUCGUUGGAGAUGCGGACUGCCUCGUAGGCAACCGGCGUUUGAUCCUCACCAAGGACAAACAAUUGGGCAUUAGGAUUUGUUCCGGACAGACCAAAACUUUGCUGACAACAAGCUUCGGUAGCUACAUUAUAGCUGACAGAACAAACUGUAUUCCCCUUCACAGCAACGGUCUGGGGGAAGACUAACAGAGUGGAUGGAGAGGGGAUGAAUGAGACAAUGAUGAAUCAAUAAUUUGGCUUCCAACCAAAUGCAUUCCCAGCCCACAGCCCCAGAACCGGUCGGCCAAUCAGCCAACAGCUGCUCUCCUACUCACUAACACAGGUGGAACGAGGGUCCAGGCAUUCCUAGAGUCUCCCCAUCUGGAGAGUGAAGACAGAAGGGUCUCAACCCACCUAGGGGAGGGUAGUUACAUAAUGGAGGCAUUAAAACAUGUUUACAACAUGCAGACAUGUACUUAGAUGGGUGACCCACAGUGUUUCAACAGUCCGAAAAUGACAGAAGACUAUAAAAAGAAA